rnacentral:rRNA from 1 species
CCAGACUCCUACGGGAGGCAGCAGUGAGGAAUAUUGGUCAAUGGGCGCAAGCCUGAACCAGCCAAGUCGCGUGAGGGAAGACGGCCCUACGGGUUGUAAACCUCUUUUGCCGGGGAGCAAGCCUGAGCACGUGUGCCCAGGCGGAGAGUACCCGGAGAAAAAGCAUCGGCUAACUCCGUGCCAGCAGCCGCGGUAAUACGGAGGAUGCGAGCGUUAUCCGGAUUUAUUGGGUUUAAAGGGUGCGUAGGCGGGGGUUUUAAGCCGGGGUAAAAGGCCCGGGGCCAACCCCCGGCGAGCCGUUGAAACUGGCUGUCUUGAGAUGUCGAGAGGUAUGCGGAAUGCGCAGUGUAGCGGUGAAAUGCUUAGAUAUCACGAAGAACCCCGAUUGCGAAGGCAGCCUGCCGCAGCGUUACUGACGCUGAAGCUCGAAAGCGCGGGGAUCGAACAGGAUUAGAUACCCCGGUACUG